GGGGCUGAUUCUGGAUUCGACGGGAUUUGCGAAACCCAAGGUGCAUGCCGAGGGGCGGUUGGCCUCGUAAAAAGCCGCAAAAAAUAGUCGCAAACGACGAAAACUACGCUUUAGCAGCUUAAUAACCUGCUUAGAGCCCUCUCUCCCUAGCCUCCGCUCUUAGGACGGGGAUCAAGAGAGGUCAAACCUAAAAGAGAUCGCGUGGAAGCCCUGCCUGGGGUUGAAGCGUUAAAACUUAAUCAGGCUAGUUUGUUAGUGGCGUGUCCGUCCGCAGCUGGCAAGCGAAUGUAAAGACUGACUAAGCAUGUAGUACCGAGGAUGUAGGAAUUUCGGACGCGGGUUCAACUCCCGCCAGCUCCACCA
rnacentral:tmRNA from 1 species